GGAUCGAUGAUGAGUCCUAUAAAAAAACAUUCCUUGGAAAAGCUGAACAAAAUGAGUGAAAACUCAUACCGUCGCUCUCAUCGGAACUGAGGUCC
ensembl:snoRNA SNORD116 Small nucleolar RNA SNORD116